CGGCCCAUGGGUAGCGGCAGACGGGUGAGUAACACGUGGGUAACCUGUCCUUGGGUGGGGGGAUAACUACUCGAAAGGGUGGCUAAUACCGCAUAAGACCACGGCCUUGCGGGGCUGCGGUCAAAGGUGCAAAUCGCCUGAGGAGGGGCCCGCGGCCGAUUAGCUAGUUGGUGGGGUAAUGGCUCACCAAGGCGACGAUCGGUAGCUGGUCUGAGAGGAUGAUCAGCCACACUGGUACUGAGACACGGACCAGACUCCUACGGGAGGCAGCAGUGGGGAAUAUUGCGCAAUGGGCGAAAGCCUGACGCAGCAACGCCGCGUGGGUGAUGAAGGCCUUCGGGUCGUAAAGCCCUGUCAGAUGGGACGAACCACCCCGCAAGGGGCCUGACGGUACCAUCGAAGGAAGCACCGGCUAACUCCGUGCCAGCAGCCGCGGUAA
rnacentral:rRNA from 1 species